rnacentral:rRNA from 1 species
AACGAACGCUGGCGGCAUGCCUAACACAUGCAAGUCGAACGAGACCUUCGGGUCUAGUGGCGCACGGGUGCGUAACGCGUGGGAAUCUGCCCUUGGGUUCGGAAUAACAGUUGGAAACGACUGCUAAUACCGGAUGAUGACCUAAGUCCAAAGAUUUAUCGCCCAAGGAUGAGCCCGCGUAGGUUUAGCUAGUUGGUGAGGUAAAGGCUCAUCAAGGCGACGAUCCUUAGCUGGUCUGAGAGGAUGAGCAGCCACACUGGGACUAAGACACGGCCCAGAAUCCUGCGGGAGGGAGCAGUGGGGAAUAUUGGACUAUGGGCGAAAGCCUGAUCCAGCAAUGCCGCGUGAGUGAUGAAGGCCUUAGAGUUGUAAAGCUCUUUUACCCGGGAUGAUAAUGACAGUACCGGGAGAAUAAGCUCCGGCUAACUCCGUG